GACGAACGCUGGCGGCGUGCUUAACACAUGCAAGUCGAACGAAGAGCGAUGGAAGCUUGCUUCUAUCACUCUUAGUGGCGAACGGGUGAGUAACGCGUAGUCAACCUGCCCUUCAGAGGGGGACAACAGUUGGAAACGACUGCUAAUACCGCAUACGAUCUAAUCUCGGCAUCGAGGAUAGAUGAAAGGUGGCCUCUACAUGUAAGCUAUCACUGAAGGAGGGGAUUGCGUCUGAUUAGCUAGUUGGAGGGGUAACGGCCCACCAAGGCGAUGAUCAGUAGCCGGUCUGAGAGGAUGAACGGCCACAUUGGGACUGAGACACGGCCCAGACUCCUACGGGAGGCAGCAGUGGGGAAUCUUCCGCAAUGGACGAAAGUCUGACGGAGCAACGCCGCGUGAGUGAUGACGGCCUUCGGGUUGUAAAGCUCUGUUAAUCGGGACGAAAGGCCUUCUUGCGAAUAGUGAGAAGGAUUGACGGUACCGGAAUAGAAAGCCACGGCUAACUACGUG
rnacentral:rRNA from 1 species